GGGGUUGUUACGGAUUCGACAGGCAUUAUGAGGCUUGUUCUGCAACUCAUCGGCAGAUGUAAAAAUGCCAGUUAAAUAUAACUGCAAAAAAUACAAACACUUACGCAUUAGCAGCUUAAUAACCUGCCUGCGUGACCAAUCGCAGAGUGCUUGCCUUUGCUGAUUGGUCUUAAAAUAGCAAGCUACGUUGAUUUAUUGCCUAGCUAAAUCAAAAGAGUUUCAUAGGCUCGUCAGCUGAAGAGUUGAGUUAUGUCUCGUCAGUCUGAUUAAAGCAAAUGCAUAACCUAUGGUUGUAGACGAAUAAGUUAGCAGGUGUUUGGACGUGGGUUCGACUCCCACCAGCUCCAUAU
rnacentral:tmRNA from 1 species